AGGACGAACGCUGGCGGCGUGCUUAACACAUGCAAGUCGAACGGAAAGGCCCUUCGGGGUACUCGAGCGGCGAACGGGUGAGUAACACGUGAGUAAUCUGCCCCUAGCUCUGGGAUAGCUCCGGGAAACCGGGAUUAAUACCGGAUACGACCACCUUAGACAUCUUUUGUGGUGGAAAGAAUUUCGGCUAGGGAUGAGCUCGCGGCCUAUCAGCUUGUUGGUGGGGUAAUGGCCUACCAAGGCGACGACGGGUAGCCGGCCUGAGAGGGCGACCGGCCACACUGGGACUGAGACACGGCCCAGACUCCUACGGGAGGCAGCAGUGGGGAAUAUUGCGCAAUGGGCGAAAGCCUGACGCAGCGACGCCGCGUGGGGGAUGAAGGCCUUCGGGUUGUAAACCCCUUUCAGCAGGGACGAAGCGAAAGUGACGGUACCUGCAGAAGAAGCGCCGGCUAACUACGUGCCAGCAGCCGC
rnacentral:rRNA from 1 species